UGGGGAAUUUUGGACAAUGGGCGAAAGCCUGAUCCAGCCAUGCCGCGUGGGUGAAGAAGGCCUUCGGGUUGUAAAGCUCUUUCAGGUGGAAAGAAAACGCAUAGGUUAAUACCUUGUGCGGAUGACGGUACCAUCAGAAGAAGCACCGGCUAACUACGUGCCAGCAGCCGCGGUAAUACGUAGGGUGCGAGCGUUAAUCGGAAUUACUGGGCGUAAGGCGUGCGCAGGCGGUUUAGUAAGACAGGCGUGAAAUCCCCGGGCUCAACCUGGGAACUGCGCUUGUGACUGCUAAGCUAGAGUACGGCAGAGGGGGGUGGAAUUCCACGUGUAGCAGUGAAAUGCGUAGAGAUGUGGAGGAACACCAAUGGCGAAGGCAAUCCCCUGGACCUGUACUGGCGCUCAUGCACGAAAGCGUGGGGAGCAAACA
rnacentral:rRNA from 1 species